rnacentral:lncRNA from 1 species
GAGGGUGACUGGGAGGCAGCGUGCCUCCCCCCCAGCCCCCACCCACCCCCAGCUACAGAACUCUGGAUCACAAAAGUGCUGAGGCCUCAAACUCAGGACGAGGGGAGGGGACGUGGGAGGUUUCCUCGGCAAGAGGCUGCCGCGCAGAAAGGAGACGCGGGGACGCUAAAAGGCC